GUAGAUGUCUGUCAUGUGGUUGGUGUGGGCUGUUACAGACAGUUUGAGCAUGGACCUAUUACGGUACGUGAUAGGCCCAUGGUUUGAGCCAGGAUAAAUAAUCACACUGGACUUUGUGGAAAUAAUCUUGGGAUUCUAGCUGUCUUUCCCUCAGUUUGGCCAACUUUUGAUACAUCUCUUUUCAAAGAAAGAGUGCUGAAUCAUCAGGCUACAUAUGAUGAAGAUAAUGGAUGGACAGCUGGAAGUGAAAUAUAAUUGAAGUGCUUUGAAUUGAUGAAAAAACAAAAGUGCUCAAGAUGGGUCCAAAGUUACGCAAGAAGAUCCUCAUUCUAGGGAGCUCUAUUCUCUUUACUAUCUUCACAAUUCAGUUGACAGGUUUCAACAUUUUGAGAGAUGAUGAGGACUCUCUGAAGUUCACUAACAAUGCCUUGCCCACUAAUGGAAAGUUCAGAACUUUUGUUCCAUCCAAAGGAGAUCAUAAGAGAAACUUGCUUCAUGCCAGCAAACAGGGAAAGGAAGAGAUUGGUUUUGAUAGUAAAGAUACCAGAAGAACCUUACAAGAUAUUAGAACAGCAGAUGAUAUCAAAGGACACCCAAGGUUAGGUGAUGAGACUUCCCUGAAACAAGAUGCAUUUCAGGGAAUUAGAAAUGUAACAGUUGCCAUGACAACAAAACUCCAGUUUGAGAAUAUGUUUCCAUCACUGCUGGAAGAGGAGAGGUGUCCGUUAUGUUAUGGAACCACCAAAUGUGACCAGAUCUAUGCUGGUAAUAUCUCCUUCCAUGUUGGAAGUGUGAACUUGAGUGAGCCUCAUGC